rnacentral:lncRNA from 1 species
CCUGCCGAGCUUCGCUAUUGUUAUUGUUGUAUUCCCCUCUUUUUUUUUCUUCUUCAGCCUUAAGGGCUCUGUAAUGCACAUUUAGUAAAUAACAUGAGAAGGAGAUUUUUUGCUACCUCUUUUACUCACGUGUUGAAUUAUCAUUUGCCGAUCUUCCUUUGGCUUUUGCCUCGCUCGAUAUCGAUGUCAUUCGGAGGUACCC